rnacentral:lncRNA from 1 species
GGGCGUGGCCCCUCAAAGCCGGAAGCCGGGUCUUGGCGGCAGUCGACAGGAUCGCCUGACGCGGGCACAGCGUCCUCCAAGAGGCCACCUUGCUGAGAGGCAGACUUCCCAUCCACAAAAUGGGAUGACAAAACGGCUCAGAGUUGAAACCACUUCUCCAAGGAGACACAACUGCUGCCCGCAGAGCUGAAGCUCCUGACCCACUAUCAAAUUUCAAUCAUUUAUUUGCCUACCCCCUUUAUGAUUUUUACCACCCGUUACUUCAACAAGUUUCAUGAAAUCCACUUAUUGUUUUUACCCAAAUAAAUUUAGUUUCCCCAUCCCAGUCACUAACCUGGUUCAAGCUCCUGUCAUCUUUCACUUGGAUGCCUGGCAUCAGCCUCAGAACUGCCCCAUUCCAUUCCUGUCUCUCUCUAGUCUGUACUGCACUCCGCAACCAGAGAGAUUCUGUUAGAAA